rnacentral:rRNA from 1 species
UACGUAGGGGGCGAGCGUUGUCCGGAAUUAUUGGGCGUAAAGCGCGCGCAGGCGGUUUUUUAAGUCUGUUGUAUAAGUUCAAGGCUCAACCUUGGGACGCAUUGGAAACUGGGGGACUGGAGUGUAGGAGAGGAAAGUGGAAUUCCACGUGUAGCGGUGAAAUGCGUAGAGAUGUGGAGGAACACCAGUGGCGAAGGCGACUUUCUGGCCUAUAACUGACGCUGAGGCGCGAAAGCGUGGGGAGCAAACAGG